rnacentral:rRNA from 1 species
UAUUUAAUAUUAUUUGUUUAUUAAUUUAAUUAUAAGAAAUUUAAAAUAAUUUAAAGUAUAGUAGUAGAAAUAAAUAAAUAAUAAAAAGUAAGUAUAU